UGGGGUGUCUUCGUCCGGCGGCAUCUCCCUCCCGCAUCGCGCUUAACGGCAAUUAGGACCGAGGAAAAUUAAGGCAGAGCGGGAAACGCUUGCAAAACCCCUUGUCCAACCCAAAAGCGGGCCGGUCGCCCGACCCGGCGCGAGGUCCCCCCACCCUCAACCCCGGCCCUGGCCAACCCACGGGCCCCCUGCAUGCCCCAAAACCGCAGGAAACGGCCCCAAGAGCAGGGCAUCGCUGCAAGCGGCAGCGGGGCAUCCCUAAAAGGCAACACGCCUCCCCUCGCUUUUGGCCGUGCAUUGGACGGCCGCUUGUUUUUCCCCAUCCCGGGGGAUUUUUCCCCGUCCCGGGGGAUUUAGCACCCUCCGCUCGGUGCGUUCAGUGGGUUGGAUGCGGGAGGCGGAGUGGGAAGGGGCAGGAGGGAUGCGGCGCAGCCGUUGGGUAGAAAACGGGUGCAAUCGAGGGUUUUGCUGCAUGCACCAAACAUCCCCAUGGCCCCUCUGCUUGCAGCGAGCUUUGGAGCAGGACUGGGUAGAAAACGGGUGCAAUCGAGGGUUUUGCUGCAUGCACCAAAAUUCCCCGUUGCACAGCGAGUUCUUCGGAGCGGGAGCGUGACGGAAACGGGUGCAAUCGGGGGUCUCGGUUGCCCCCCGGACGCCUCCUCUCCUCCCCCCCUACCCCCAAAUCCCCCCAGACUGCGUUUUCGUCGUGCUCGGCGAGGACGCCCCGGCCGAGGGCGAGGAAGACGUCACCAACCUCUGGACCGCCGUGACCUUCGUCCUCCUCUUCCUCCUCAGCCUUUGCUACAGCACCGGCGUCACCCUCUUCAAGGUCCUGUGACGGCUCCAGGCCUCCCGAAGGGCGGAAAAACGCGAGGAAUAAAACCAAGCCUCGUCCCGUUUCCGUCGGCCGAGUCCUUCCCCUUGGCGUUGCACCCCACUCUCCGUCCCGUUGCAGAAAAACACCCCAAUUUCCCCUUGCAACCAACCGCGGGCGCUCUGGUGCGUUGCACCCCACUCUCCGUCCCGUUGCAAACAGAAAAAAACCCCUUUUCCCCCCAUUUUCCUUGCAAGCCCCGAGCUGCCAGGAAGGCCGCCACGCGGGUGACCGAACCCAAACCUCGCGUUUUUGGUAAAAGACACCUUUUUAUUUUCUUUUUUUAAGUUUUCUUCGUUGCCCGCACGGCCGCUUUCCCACGCUUUUCGGGCCGCUGAGUCAUUUUCGGAGCAGAAGUGGGUUAAAAUCGGCCCCAGCGCCGGGCCCCAAACAUCUGGAUUUAGCCCCCCUCCCCGGCCCCGGGCAGCCAGAUGUGUCCUGUUUACCAAAAAUGCGUUUUUUUGUUUUUUUUUCCUCCCUCUGAGUCACCGCGGGGAUAUAUCGGGCUGGAAAGGGGGAGCGGAAGGCGCCCGAGUUUAAAAAAAGGCG
rnacentral:lncRNA from 1 species